rnacentral:rRNA from 1 species
CGAUUCUGGCUCAGAACGAACGCUGGCGGCAGGCCUAACACAUGCAAGUCGAGCGCGCCCUUCGGGGUGAGCGGCGGACGGGUUAGUAACGCGUGGGAACGUACCCUUUGGUAGGGAAUAGCCACUGGAAACGGUGAGUAAUACCCUAUGAGCCCUUCGGGGGAAAGAUUUAUCGCCAAAGGAUCGGCCCGCGUUAGAUUAGGUAGUUGGUGGGGUAGUGGCCUACCAAGCCUACGAUCUAUAGCUGGUUUUAGAGGAUGAUCAGCAACACUGGGACUGAGACACGGCCCAGACUCCUACGGGAGGCAGCAGUGGGGAAUCUUGGACAAUGGGGGCAACCCUGAAUCCAGCCAUGCCGCGUGAGUGAAGAAGGCCUUAGGGUCGUAAAGCUCUUUCGCCUGUGAAGAUAAUGACGGUAGCAGGUAAAGAAACCCCGGCUAACUCCGUGCCAGCCGCAGC